rnacentral:rRNA from 1 species
UAUAGGAUAGCCACUAGAAAUGGUGGGUAAUACUGUAUAAUCCCUGCGGGGGAAAGAUUUAUCGCUACUAGAUGAGCCUAUGUCAGAUUAGCUAGUUGGUGGGGUAAUGGCCCACCAAGGCUGUGAUCUGUAGCUGGUCUGAGAGGAUGAUCAGCCACACUGGAACUGAGACACGGUCCAGACUCCUACGGGAGGCAGCAGUGGGGAAUAUUGGACAAUGGGCGCAAGCCUGAUCCAGCUAUGCCGCGUGAGUGAGGAAGGCCUUAGGGUUGUAAAACUCUUUCAGUAGGGAAGAUAAUGACGGUACCUACAGAAGAAGUCCCGGCAAACUCCGUGCCAGCAGCCGCGGUAAUACGGAGGGGGCAAGCGUUGUUCGGAAUUAUUGGGCGUAAAGGGCAUGUAGGCGGUUUGGUAAGUUAAAGGUGAAAUACCAGGGCUUAACCCUGGGGCUGCUUUUAAUACUGCAGGACUAGAGUCCGGA